CUCCAUCAUGUCUGAUUUUUUCCUUUCUCUUUCCUAGGCAAAACUGCUUAUUAAACAACCAGAAUUUGCAGUUUCCAUCUGCCCCAAGCUGGACUUCGGGCUAGAGGUGUAGCUGCAGGCUGCUGAUCUCCUAAGAAGCACAGGAUUUGGGGUCUGUCUGUGCCACAGUACCAAGAGGUUGUUUAUCUCUUUCUGCAAAAUUCACGAGCCAAGAGAGCAGGUCACUGACCCUCCUUCGAUCAGCACACAGCAGUUUCUCAUUCUUUAGAGUGGAUUUUGAGAUUUGAAAAUAGAAAUUAAAUCCCUCAAAGUAUCACAGGAAGAGAAUGGUGAGUGUUGUCACUUGUUGUGGCAUUAUUUGUUAUUUGUGGUUUUUUUAAUAUUAUAAAAAUA
rnacentral:lncRNA from 1 species